AUGAGGGGAAACCCCUUUCACUUGGCUCUCUUUCUUUUCUCUUGUUUACCGUCACAUCAGAUGUGCCUUUCACCUUCUGCCAUGAUUGUGAGACUGCCUCAUCCACAUGGAACUGAACUGAAGGCUACCAGAGAAAACCAGAAAAUCAACCUGCUACACCAUAACCUCGUAUCUCACUGGACUCUAAGGCAACUGAGUUGGAUCGAAAUAAACCUUUAUUUCCCUUAUAUUUAUUUAUAUUUAUUUAUUUCCCCUUUAUUUGCCAUCACUGCCACCCAUCUUCUCAAAACACACACACACACACACACACACACACACACACACACACGUGUACAUUCAUUGAAGACCAAGGCCCUGACUCAUAUCCUUUUUCUCCAUCUCUAAAUCUGCCAUUACUUCCCUUAGAUC
rnacentral:lncRNA from 1 species